ensembl:lncRNA
AUUUGAUUCCCAUGCUAACAGAAUGUUUUAGGGAUUUGCUGUUUACAUGUAAAAUCCUCACAGUGGGUUUUUGAGCCAUCUACCUAACAGCUGAUGCACUCAUCUAGGUUAACCUUAUGCUUCCAUCUGUGUCACAGAACUCAGAGGAUGGAAAGUGGAUUGCAAAUAGCAGGUGAGCCCUCUUUGAAGAAUUGUGGGAACGCUGCAACGCCCCAAGUGUUUGCAACACGCUUCUGAGCUACAUAUCAACUAAACUGUACCCAAGGUCAAAAUGCCACGACAAACGAUGUUUUGAUCACAGUUUGAAGAAGAAGAAAAUAAAUAAUACAGUUUGUUUGGUAACUGUUCAAAUUCCAUUGGCUUUACAAUUAUAUGGAGGAUUAAAAAUUGAUGGGUCUUCGACAGCAGAUGUCACUGAAACCUUAACAUAGGAGAGGAUUUCAGAAGGCUGAGGAACUGGAAUAGGCAAG